rnacentral:snRNA from 1 species
GGAUGUGAGGGCGAUCUGGCUGCGACAUCUGUCACCCCAUUGAUCGCCAGGGUUGAUUCGGCUGAUCUGGCUGGCUAGGCGGGUGUCCCCUUCCUCCCCUCCACCCGCCUCCAUGUGCGUCCCUCCCAAAGCUGCGCGCUCGGUCGAAGAGGACGACCAUCCCCGAUAGAGGAGGACCGUUCUUCGGUCAAGGGUAGACGAGUAGCUGCGCUCCCCUGCUAGAACCUCCAAACAAGCUCUCAGGAGAACUCUAAGUAAACAAAGCCUGCGGGGCUAGGUGAGUGUUAAGCUUACUCCUGAGAUCUGCAUAAAUAAAGCCUCAGCUUACAGCAGGCUGACAGCCAGU